rnacentral:rRNA from 1 species
GACGAACGCUGGCGGCGUGCCUAAUACAUGCAAGUCGAACGCUGAAGCUUGGUGCUUGCACCGAGCGGAUGAGUUGCGAACGGGUGAGUAACGCGUAGGUAACCUGCCUGGUAGCGGGGGAUAACUAUUGGAAACGAUAGCUAAUACCGCAUAACAGUAGAUAUCGCAUGAUAGCUACUUGAAAGGUGCAAAUGCACCACUACCAGAUGGACCUGCGUUGUAUUAGCUAGUUGGUGAGGUAACGGCUCACCAAGGCAACGAUACAUAGCCGACCUGAGAGGGUGAUCGGCCACACUGGGACUGAGACACGGCCCAGACUCCUACGGGAGGCAGCAGUAGGGAAUCUUCGGCAAUGGACGGAAGUCUGACCGAGCAACGCCGCGUGAGUGAAGAAGGGUUUCGGAUCGUAAAGCUCUGUUGUAAGAGAAGAACGAGUGUGAGAGUGGAAAGUUCACACUGUGACGGUAUCUUACCAGAAAGGGACGGCUAACUACGUG